rnacentral:sRNA from 1 species
CCUCUUCCACCUGUUGCGGGCAGAUGAAGUGGAUAUGCGCAUCGAUACCGCCGGCGGUGAGUAUGGAACCCUCGCCGGCAAUCACUUCUGUGCCCGGGCCGAUGACGAUAUCCACACCAUCCUGUACGUCCGGAUUGCCCGCCUUGCCGAUGCCGGCGAUGCGGCCGGCCUUGAUGCCGACGUCGGCCUUGACCACGCCCCAGUGAUCCAGGAUCAGCGCAUUGGUAAUCACCAGGUCCGCGGUCUCUUCAGAGCCCAGCUGGCUCUGCCCCAUACCGUCGCGG